CUUAAAUCUAAAUCCACUAAACAUAACAUGCCACCAAUUAGUAACAAGUCCUAAUCCAAUACCUGAUAUUUUUAGCAAUAAGAGUUAUACUACAUGUAUAUACGUGCGCAAUUACAAUAAUCAAAACCCUUCAGCUAGCAGAGAAACAAAUCAAAUUUAGCCACAGUACACAAGCUAGCCAGCUCCCUAAACACAGCACUGCACUAGCAGUUAGCUUAACAACGAGCGAUUAGCUUAGCAACUUCAUCACAAUCUAUUUCACUUUAGUUUGCUAACAACCUAGCUAGUGUUAGUCUAAGAACAUUAGGCUAUGUAUGAUAUUGUGUAAACCAGUAGCAGGCUUGCUAACUAGCAAACAUAAGACUAAGCAUUAUAUUGUGUAAACAGUAGCAAGGUCACUAGCUAGCUAACAUUAGACUAAGUAUUUUAUUGUGUAAAUCAGAAGCAAGGUUGCUAGCUAGCUAACAUUAGACUAAGUAUUUUAUUGUGUAAAUCAGAAGCAAGGUCGCUAGCUAGCUAACAUUAGGCUAAGUAUUUUAUUGUGUAAAUCAGAAGCAAGGUCACUAGCUAGCUAACAUUACACUAAGUAUUAUAUUGUGUAAAUCAGAAGCAAGGUUGCUAGCUAGCUAACAUUAGGCUAUUUUAUUGUGUAAACUAGUAGCAAGGUCACUGGCUAGCUAUCUGACAUUAGGUUAAGUAUGAUAUUGUGCAAAUCGGUAGCAAGGUUGCUAGCUAUCUAACAUUAGUUCAACUAUUAUUCUGUGUAAACUAGCUUCCUUUCUCUGUUCCUGGCUUUUCCUUAACCAACAUGACAAUUAGCUUUUUCUCAGCACCCUUGUUUCCUGAAGUAAAUUUCCAUAGAGUUUAAAACCAAACCGUCAAAACAAAAGCAUCUACAUGAUGAUUUGUGCCUUAAUGCUUAAUGACAGUUAUUUCAAAGUAAUAAAUAAAAUAAAUUUAAAAAAAAAAAAAAAAAGGGUAAACAGGCCAACGUACAAGACAUUUUCUGAGGGAAAGAACUAUUGAUCCCAUAAUGCAUUGCAGAUUAUGUCACUGGAUCACUCUCCCUCGACUUUUAGCCUGUUACUACUAACACUGUUGUUGUGUGUUCAUUUUCACCAGAAUGUUAUUAGCAUCUACUACCUAAUAUACUCUAGUAUCUAAUAUUUAAAUAUUAUCUCUCUCCACAUGUUCAUAAAACAACGCUUUCAACAAAACGGUGGACCGUGACACUGAUACACAUGUCACAUCCUUCCAUGUUUCCAGUGACGUCUCUAAUCAGUGGUUUUCGCUUUGGGAUUCUUGCUAAUGUAGCGUACUGAAAUGAGAUGUUAGUUUUCAAAAACAAAGUUGAAAUCACGCUGACGUCAUGGUUUCUAGGGAAGCGUAACACCUUCUCUAAUUUGGUCAGUAAAGAAACCUAAUUAAUUAAGGAAACACAACUUGCGCUCUUCAUUAAAAUAUGACUCAUUGUUCAGCAUUAUUAGCCUUUGACAAAGCUUUGUAUUCUUUAUUAUAUGUACAUCCUGUUAUCACCUACUGUUGUGAUGGGGGAAAGGAAAAAAAAGAAAAAAAAAAGCACAACACAUCAUCUGCUGUAUUCAGGCUGCUGUUGCGUGUGGAAAAAUCUAAAGCAGCUGAAUAGCAGCAGGUUAUAUAUACCGUACCCUCCACUAAUAUUGGCACCCUUGGUAAAUAUGAGCAAAGGCAGCUGUGAAAAAAUGUCUUUAUUGUUUAACCUUUUAAUCUUUUGUUUAAAAAAAAAAAAAAUCACAAAAAUACUCUGCUCUCAUGGAUAUCAAACAAUUGCAAAUACAACACAGGUUUAUCCAAAAAAAUAUUUUUGUUAAAUAUAUAUGUGUGCCAUAAGUAUGUAUUGGCACCCCUAUAAUGAGUGAAUUCAUAUGCGAGAAAUAUAUUUGGAGUAUAUUCGAAGUUGAUAUUUACCUUUUUUUAAAUUAUUUAUUUAUUUGUACUAGGAACAGGACAUUGUUCAAAUAUGACUUCCUGUUUCACAGCCGUGGUUGGAUCUUCCAGCAGGACAAUGAUAGAAAACAUACAACAAAAUCAACACAAAAGGGUUUACUGACCACAAAAUCAAGGUCCUGCCAUGGCCAUCCCAGUCCCCUGACUUGAACUCCAUAGAAAACCUGUGGGGUGAACUGAAGAGGAGACUCCACCAGUGUGGACCUCGAAACGUGAAGGAUCUGGAGAGUUUCUGUAUGGAGGAACGGUCUCAGAUCUCUCACCAUGUAUUCUCCAACCUCAACAGGUAUUAUAGGAGAAGACUCAGAGCUGUUAUCUUAGCAAACGGAGGUAGCACGAAGUAUCGAAUAAAAGGGUGCCAAUAAUUGUUGCACAUGUAUAUUUAACAAAGGAUAAACCUGUGUUGUGUUUGCAAUUGUUUGAUAGCCAUGAGAGCAGAGUAUUUUUGCGAUUUUUUUAAACAAAACAUCAAAAGGUUAAACAAUAAAGACCAUUUUUCACAGCCUUCUUUGCUCAUAUUUACCAAGGGUGCCAAUAUUAGUGGAGGGCAUUGUAAAAGUCUCAGCAUGUCUGAAUCACGCUUGAGCAGCUGCCUUUGACUACCAUGCCAUCCAUCCAACAUCUCAAUACUGAACCUGGUGUGUCUUGUAGCCUUUGAUAAGCCGAUACAUCAUCUGCUCUGCUUGCUGUAUCACACUGUGAGUGUAGACAAGUGACUGAGAGCUGGGAGAAAAUAAGCAAAAUCAAUCACUCUCCAUGUGCCAGAAGUUUCGUUUGUUCUCAGUUUUUCUUCCUUACAACAAUUAUUCAGCACUGACUCAUUCUUAUUUACAAUCUUUUCCAUCUUCCAAACACCUAAGAAGACAAAUAAAAUAAAAUACGCUGAAUACGUGUCUAUAGUUUUCUGAUUAACAACCGUUGCAGGAGACAUUGAGAACUCUCUACUCACAGAGAUGCCUAUCAUACAUUUUAAAAUCCAUCUAAUUAGCACAUGCUGUGUGUAAAUCCUUCCUGUUUAUUCACUCUCUGCAUUUUAAAAAGGCCCCAUAACAAAAAUAAAUCAGGUUAACAGACUAAGCAGGAUGAGACUCAUCCACUACUGAUAUGCCUUUGAAUUCUUAUAACUCUACCAGGGAAUGUUUACUGCAGCUGGAGUCAUGCCUGGAUUUGCUGAAAGCGUGCAAAACGUAGGCAGGUGCUUUUUGAAUUCAGCCAAAUAGUUCAAGUUAAUUUGGCAGGCUGUAUAUAUAUGGAGUGCAUAUUGCAUAACUGUGACCCCUUAGGUGCACUAUCAAUCUUCUCCAACAUAGAUAGCAUUUUUAUUGUGUGUUCCAAGUAGAGCUGGACGAUAUGACAGUACAACAGUAUAUACGCA
ensembl:lncRNA